AUGGGAACGCAGGACUUUCUAGGUUUUUGCCUUAAGGCAUUGCCUUAUUAUCAAACCAUAAUGAAUAAAACCAACCGCAUCUUUCAUUCCAGUCCAGUGACAUGGCCACAUAACAGUGGCUUUAUGUUGAGCCCCAAUCUGCAAUAUCACACAGGCCGUGUCUUCAGAGAUCUGCCAAUGAUUUCUGUGGGGCAUAACAGAACUUCUCAAAAGGCCUCAACAUAUGGUAAACUGGAUAAUCAGCACCAGCUGGGGCAGAAAGGAAGGGAAGCUGGUGAAAUGAACAUGUCCACUCUGUGUCAUAGCAAUGACAGAACUUCAGCUGAUUGUUGUCUGUGAUAAAGGAGACAAAGUAUGGCCAACUUGGGUUUUGCAGAAGUCACUGGAAAUCCACAGCUUUCUAUGAAACUUCCCGAUUCUUAAAAGUCUCCAAAACAAGGUAAAAUACAUUUUCUGGCUGAAUUAUGCAGUUUGAGGUCCUAGAUCCAGAACAUGAUAUAGUAGUAAGAGGUCAGAACUGAGGCCAUAGGAAAGAGUCAUAUCUUGGAGAGUCCUGUGCAAGAUAUGUUAAGGAGAUAUAAUCAGGUUUUAGUGGAAGAUUAACUGUGACUGAUAAGAGCAAAAGAAGAAAUAAUCACUGGUCAAAUAACAAUAAGGGAGACAGGUCCUAAGUAACAGGUAAAAAAAUGUAACAUCAACAGCAAGAGAGAAAGAGAACAAGAGAGACUCCCCUUUAAAAACAAGCACAGGGAAUUUUUAGCUUUCCAGAAUCCUCUGCACUGAAUGUGCCUGGGAAUGUGCUCAAGCCUGGCA
rnacentral:lncRNA from 1 species